rnacentral:rRNA from 1 species
AUUGAACGCUGGCGGCAGGCCUAACACAUGCAAGUCGAGCGGAGCGGCGGACGGGUGAGUAAUGUAUCGGAAAGUGCCCAGUAGAGGGGGAUAACUACGCGAAAGGGUAGCUAAUACCGCAUACUAUUGGAGCGGCCCAUAUCGGAUUAGCUAGUAGGUGGGGUAACGGCUCACAAAGGCGACGAUCCGUAGCUGGUUUGAGAGGACGACCAGCCACACGGGGACUGAGACACGGCCCAGACUCCUACGGCAGGCAGCAGUGGGGAAUUUUGGACAAUGGGGGAAACCCUGAUCCAGCCAUGCCGCGUGUGCGAUGAAGGCCGUCGGGUUGUAAAGUACUUUUGGCAGGAAAGCGGUACCUGCAGAAUAAGCACCGGCUAACUCCGUGCCAGCAGCCGCGGUAAUUC